GAUGAAGAACGCAGCGAAAUGCGAUAAGUAGUGUGAAUUGCAGAAUUCAGUGAAUCAUCGAAUCUUUGAACGCAUAUUGCGCCCCUUGGUAUCCCGAGGGGCAUGCCUGUUCGAGCGUCAUUUCACCACUCAAGCCUGGCUUGGUGUUGGGCGACGUCCUCUUUGGGGACGCGCCUCGAAACGCUCGGCGGCGUGGCACCGGCUUUAAGCGUAGCAGAAUCUUUCGCUUUGGAAGUCGGGGCCCCGUCUGCCGGAAGACCUGCUCGCAAGGUUGACCUCGGAUCAGGCAGGGAUACCCGCUGAACUUAAGCAUAUCAAUAAGCGGAGGA
rnacentral:misc_RNA from 1 species